GUGAACGAAAAGCCAGAAAACUGAUGUACCUAAUAAUUACAAUGGGCUGGUGAAGUUAACUAAUUGGUAGCUAAGCAUCCUAUUGUUCUCCUUGCACACAGAUGAAACCUUGACUAGACUUUUCUCAGGAAACGUUGAGGGAGAUAACAAAGAAGAAGAAAAAGAAGAGGAAGAAGAUCGGAGGGCGGAUAAGAUGGGGAAACUUGUUUGCUCUGAAUUGUGUAAUGACGAUAAUGCUUUCGAUUUAAAGGGACUUCUCAUGGCAGUC